GUAGCAACCCACUUACUUGGAAAUUUACUAUAUCAACAUACCAAGGUAAUGUCGUGACAACUAGCAGCUGCUCAUCUGGGAAUUCUUUCUUAAUGAGUUGAAUAUUGUCAUCUUUAUUUCCUGCUUCUAACCUUGAUAAGUGAUCAACCACUUGAUUUUCAGUCCCUUUCCUAUCUCGAAUUUUAAGAUCAAAUUCUUGCAGCAGUA
rnacentral:lncRNA from 1 species